GUUAAACCAGUAAACUAAAUUAUACAAAAUUGGUAAAAAUAUAGUUAGGUAGAUAGCUAGUUACUGAUUUUUAAUAUAUAGGUAAAAUUUAAUAUUAGCAUAAUAUACAAAUAAAACUAUACUACUAAAUCUAUGACAUCUUUAAGGGAAACUGGGAUUGGAUACCCCAUUAUUUCUAGAUAUAAAUAAAAACCUUACCAGAGCACUACGAACAUCCGGUUUAAAACUCAAAGGGCUUGGCGGUAUUUUAGACCUUUUAGGGGAACCUGUCUCAUAAUCGACAAUCCACGUAAAACCUUACCUUUUUUAGUAUUCAGCUUGUAUACCGUUGUCGUCAGGUAACUUUUAAAAAUAUAAUAGUUAGCUUUAAAACUUAUUUAGUUAAGAUGUCAAAUCAAGGUGCAGCCUAUAAAAAGGAGAAGAUGGGUUACAAUUAUAAAGUUAUAAUACGAAUGGUUAAUUGAAAUCAACCUAAAGGAGGACUUAAAAGUAAAUCUAUUUAUAUGAAUAUUUUGAACAAGGCUCUAAGAUGUGCACACAU
rnacentral:rRNA from 1 species